GAUGAACGCUAGCGGCAGGCUUAAUACAUGCAAGACGAACGGUAAGAAUUGUAGCAAUACGAUUCCUAGAGUGUCGUACGGGUGCGUACACGUAUGCAACCUACCUUGUACAGGAGUAUAGCUCGGUGAAAACCGAAUUAACCCUCCAUAAUAUCACGAGAUGGCAUCAUUUUAUGAUUAAAACUGAGGUGGUACAAGAU
rnacentral:rRNA from 1 species